AGAUACACUGUGAGGAGAGAGAGGUCAAAGCAGGCCUGGGGAGAACACUGCCACUUUCGGGAAGUCUUCCUGGGUUAGUCAAGGCCCUUCCCUGCUAGCACAACCUCAGAUCGGCCCUUCUGUUUUCAUGGUAUUUUUGCACUGUUUUAUGUAUUUAUGUUUGGUUACACUUGCUCACGUCUUCUAGACUGAGUGUGGCUCCCUGACCUUGUUGGGUUUUUAGUAGACAACCCCAGCACACAAGGGGGCAACAUGGCGGAAUGACAGAGCAGGAGUCUCGGGUGAGUUGGGCCAGGUUCCGAGUUCCCUUCUCCUCCCUAUCAGCUAUGUGAGCAGGAGUUGCCUGACGCACAGAGGAGGAGCACUCACGCCUGCUUCCUGAAGCAGUAAAGAGGUGAGCUUCCUCCCCCACGAGCCCGAACAGCCCAGAGGUUUGCAGUCUAAGGCUUGGGAUUUCCAAUCCUCACUCUACUACUUACUACUUCUGUGGCUUUUGGCAAAUUACUUAACCUCUCUGAGCCGCGGUUUCAUCAUCUGGAAAGGAGGUUAGUAAAUCCUCUGUCACACGUUCUGGUGGGGCUUACGCAGGGAUAAGGCAGUGUCGUCAGACCAUGGUAGCUGUGUUACUACUGUGCAGUGGACGAGGCGCUGGGAGUGUCAGUCACAAGAAGCCCUGUCUGCUGAUUGCUUUGUGGUUCCACGGUGCUUUCCCACCCUGCUCUCAUUUAUCCCUCAGAGCCAGUGUGUGACGCGGCCACAACUCCCGCCCCAUCACCCACGAGGAAACAGCUCCAGAGAAGUCUGGUGACUUGCUCAAGACCCUGGGCCACUGGCUACACCUGACCCUGGAGCCUGGCAGGACACAGCUGGAUCCCCAGAACACCUCCCAGGGCAGAGCCCCCAAGUCUCUGCAUGCAGUCUUAGCCUAGGCACACAUGUGCUCGAGCCACGGGCCCACCCUGGCCCCAUCUUUGCCCCUCUUCUCUUCCCUCGUCACCAGACGGCCAUGCCUGGAGCCCUUCUAGCCAUAAACACUGGUUGGGGAAUCGGCUCUGAGCUCAGAAGGCUGGAGUUUGAGACCAGCCCUGCACUGGUGAGCUGUAUCACCUUGGGCAGAUCACUUAGACUCUUUCAGCCUCAGUUUCCCUCACCUAUAACAUGGGGAGAGUAAAACCUGCAUUGUCUGUUUCACAGAUUGUAAUCAGGACAAAGGGUGACAAUGAUGGCACUUGGUAAUCUGUCAAUGCUACACGGCUCUUAGGGAUUGUUCUUACUGGAGUCUCGCUGGCCUCUGC